rnacentral:rRNA from 1 species
CUACGGGUUGCUCCAGUGAGGAAUAUUGCACAAUGGGGGGAACCCUGAUGCAGCAACGCCGCGUGGAGGAUGACGCAUUUCGGUGUGUAAACUCCUUUUAUAUGUCAAGAAAAUGACGGUAGCAUAUGAAUAAGCACCGGCUAACUCCGUGCCAGCAGCCGCGGUAAUACGGAGGGUGCAAGCGUUACUCGGAAUCACUGGGCGUAAAGGACGCGUAGGCGGGUUGGAAAGUCAGGUGUGAAAUCCUACAGCUUAACUGUAGAACUGCACUUGAAACUUCCAAUCUAGAGUAUGGGAGGGGGAGAUGGAAUUAGUGGUGUAGGGGUAAUAUCCGUAGAUAUCACUAGGAAUACCUAAAGCGAAGGCGAUCUCCUGGAACAUUACUGACGCUAAGGCGUGAAAGCGUGGGGAGCAAACAGGAUUAGAUACCCCGGUAGUC